CUCAACCCCAGGUCGACCCAUUUCCCUCUCCCAUUGGCCCGCGGCGGCUCCAACCAUUGGUCCGCGCUACCUGUCCAUUUCUUGCGAGAGUUCAACACCUCCUGGCUGGAGGAGGCUGCGGCCUCAUUGGGUGCAUGCGGAGGGAUGGGUGGGCCCAGAAAGUUUUAGGUGGAGGUUGAUUGCUAGACGAGCUGGAGACAGUGGAACAAUCUGUAAAGGCUGGAUGUGGAAGAAUAGAAAACCCCUGAGGAGGACACCGGGGUGGUUCAGUCGGUGUUCCACUUGAUCUCACGGUUGCUUCCUCUUCCAUAAAACGGGGAUGCCAAUCCAUACCUACCUUGGUGUAGAGGACGACACCAGAUUGUUUCUCAAGAUCUCUUCCAGCUCGGGAGAAACAGAGCUUAACAGAUGAAUGGCUGCUACCAGCAAGCUGGGGAAAAGGAAUCCAGAGCCUGUGAUUUCCAAGAGCCUUUGUGAGUGGGAAACUCAGAAGCAGGGAAAGUAAAUGGCAUGCUCCAAUAACAUGGUGCUAACCAACAGCAGAUCUAAGAAAGAACUCAGGUCUUACAGAGUGGUGCAGAUCCUUUUCACUACUUGAUGCCUCCUUCCAUGGUACAAUUCCUUUUCUUUAAGAAUAAGAAUUUUCUUAAUCUCUCUAUAUAAAUAAAUGUUUCAUUGGGCAAUAAAUAAUUGACAAAGAAUCUG